CCCGCCACUCUCUGUCUCUAUUAAAACAGACCAGAAUCCAGAUCGCGUUUCAAAAAAAGACCUGUCUUUACUGUUUCCUCUCUCGGGUCUCCUUACAUCGAAGAUCGGGAAAGUCGCUACUGUCUGGUUUCGUAAUCGAGUCUCCUUAGGUUUGUGGGGGGAUGAUGAAUUUGGGAGAUUUGAACAAGGUGUGGGAGAUUAAAGCGUUGAAGAAGAAACCGAGGGAAGAAGAAGCGAGGAAGAUUCUGGAGAAAGUGGCCAAUCAGGUUCAGCCCAUUAUGACCAGACGCAAAUGGCGUGUCAAGCUUCUCUCCGAAUUCUGCCCGACAAAUCCGAGGCUUUUGGGGGUGAAUGUUAAUAGGGGGGUUCAAGUGAAAUUAAGGCUUCGGAGGGUAAACAAUGAUGGAGAUUUCAUAUCUUAUCACCAAGUUCUUGACACUAUGCUCCACGAGCUUUGCCACAACGCCCAUGGUCCUCACAAUGCUUCUUUCUAUAAGCUCUGGGAUGAACUUCGUAAGGAAUGUGAGGAGUUGAUGUCAAAGGGUAUCACAGGGACAGGCCAAGGCUUUGAUGUUCCUGGCCAGCGUUUGGGUGGUUUUUCUCGUCAGCCUCCCCUCUCUUCUCUCCGCACAACAGCAGCUAAAGCAGCUGAGAAAAGAGUGCGUUCGGGCAAUCUGUUACCCUCAGGACCUCAACGUCUUGGUGGUGACAGCAGCAUUAUGUCACAUCUUACCCCUAUCCAGGCUGCUGCUAUGGCUGCCGAAAGGCGUUUCCUAGAUGACAUCUGGUGUGGUUCCCAAUCUUCCGCAGAGGCUUUAGAUGAGAAAGAGAAUGAUUGUACGGAACCCGUUUCUGUAAGGGAAACUUGUACGAGCUUGAAUGCAAGGUCAGUAAAAAGAAGCAGUAGCUGCUCAAAUGCUACUACCAAUUCGUCUUCAAGUCACCAGUGGGGAUCACAUGUCAUUGAUUUAACAGAGGAAGCUUCUUUCGAAAGUAGAUGUACUAAAAGAAGUUGCAACCCAGGUGAUCUAUGUCCUUCUUCUUCCUCUAGUGAUGAACCGCUGAUAUCAUCAUCAUUGAAUGGUUACAGUGCAGACCAAGGCAUAGAAGAAACUGCAAUGUGGGAGUGUGCAGAAUGCACCUUACUGAACCCGUUGUUGGCUCCGAUAUGCGAGCUAUGCACUGCCGCAAAGCCAAAGGAAAGGGAGAUGAAGCACAAAGUCUGGUCUUGCAAAUUCUGCACGCUUGAAAACGAGGUGAAGCUGGAGAAAUGUGAGGCUUGUGGUCAGUGGAGAUACUCGUAUGGACAACCACCAUUGUCGACUCGUGCUCCUAAUGUCGGUACUUGAGGGAGUCUCUAGUGUUCUACAAGGAUUCGCUAUUUUUAUUUUGUAGCCAACGAGCGAUGACAUGUUAUGUAAACCCUAGUCCCAUAUUUUCUGUGGCUGCAUUAUCAUUAAGAAACUUCACAGGUUCUUAGAGAACAAGAUCCUAAUCUUAGCUGCGCUUCUCGGUCUCUCAGCGUUCUUCUCCACGGCAGAGACCUCCAUUACCACUCUCUGGCCGUGGAAGAUACUACUAGCAGGGAACAGCCAGAAAAGUGAGUGCAGUUGGGUUUGAAAGAGUUAAAUGAUAUGAAUAAAGUUUCAGAGGCACGCGAUGUUAGGAACAUGGUUCCCAAAUUCCUACGGAAUGGGAGCAGUGAGGAAUAGUAUGAGGGUAACCAGCAUGUCUCUGAUGAACAUUUAAUUCCUGAAAAUGAAAGUAUGAAAACAGAGUAAUGAUCAUUACUACUCCAGACUCUUUUUUAUCAGCUCUAUUUUUGGGGUAGUGGCUUUUAACAAAGUUAGCUUAUGAAGCAUCUCAAUCAAGAAACAAUAAGAAUCAGAACUUUUCUCAACUGCUUCUUAUUCAUCAAAUUUUUUGUAUGUCAGCUUACCUUCAACUCCAUAAGAAAAUUUAUAUGUAAGCUACAUUUGAGGUCAUAGUGGAUGUAGAGUCUCACAAGAUGCAAUGAGUAAGCUAAAUAUAAGUUCCACAAAUAUUUCCCCA